UUUAUAUGUAGCAAAAAGUCAACCUCCUACAUAAAGAACAAGUAAGGGAGCAGUUACACCGUGUGGAGGGAAGAUGGGUGUGAGUGUGAUGCUUUAGUGCCUUUCCUCAGGAAAGAGACCACUGCUUAAGGAUGUGGAUUUUCCUGCUACUUCUUUGUAGCCAAGGCUCUGUGUUCAGUGUCUUCCUCUACCAAAAGCCAAACAGGGACAUCUGUCAAAGUGGAACUUCACUGAAAAUCCAGUGUGUUGUUGAUAGUCAAGUUGCUUUGAUGUUCUGGUACCAACAGUUCCAGGGACAAAACUUGAUGCUCAUGGCAACUGCAAAUGAAGGCUCUGAAGCCACAUACGAGAGUGGAUUCUCCAGGGAAAAGUUUCCAAUCAGCCGCCCAAACCUAACAUUCUCCACACUGACAGUGAACAACGCAAGACCUGAAGACAGCAGUGUCUAUUUCUGUAGUUCUGGAGACACAGUGCUGAUGACAAGGGAGAGAUCUCAACAAGAACCCCGUCUCCUUCCAUUGAGCUCUCCCCAGAUGAGCCUGAGGGCCCAGCUGACUUAUUGUGAAAACCACAGGUUCGGGUGA